rnacentral:rRNA from 1 species
UACGAAGGGGGCUAGCGUUGCUCGGAAUCACUGGGCGUAAAGGGUGCGUAGGCGGGUCUUUAAGUCAGGGGGGAAAUCCUGGAGCUCAACUCCAGAACUGCCUUUGAUACUGAAGAUCUUGAGUUCGGGAGAGGUGAGUGGAACUGCGAGUGUAGAGGUGAAAUUCGUAGAUAUCAGGAGGAACACCGGUGGCGAAGGCGGCUACCUGGACAGAAACUGACGCUGAGGCGCGAAAGCUAGGGGAGCAAACAGG